UACGUAGGGCGCAGGCGUUAUCCGGAAUUAUUGGGCGUAAAGAGCUCGUAGGCGGUUUGUCGCGUCUAUCGUGAAAGUCCGAGGCUCAACCUCGGAUCUGCGGUGGGUACGGGCAGACUAGAGUGAUGUAGGGGAGACUGGAAUUCCUGGUGUAGCGGUGAAAUGCGCAGAUAUCAGGAGGAACACCGAUGGCGAAGGCAGGUCUCUGGGCAUUAACUGACGCUGAGGAGCGAAAGCAUGGGGAGCGAACAGG
rnacentral:rRNA from 1 species